rnacentral:rRNA from 1 species
GGGGGCCGACCCCGAAGAGCUUGCACAGAUUGCGUACCGGCUCGAUGAGGCAUUCUCAAACGGAUACGCNCUCGGGGGAGAAAGAUAAGGUGUUCGCUGGGCAACGCAGUGGGUCUAUGCCUAAAGUCGCCCAAAAGGGCUAUCGGGAGUGUCCGGAGGAAGAAGGCAAAUAAGGCCUUCACAUCAUGGAUCCGGCUUCCACAAAAUACGGGACAUGAGCGGUAGCUGCUUAGCACAUUGAAAGCGGCCGUCACGCUGAACCCCCUCUCCCAUGGGGAUCGGCCCAAUCGACUGGCCACCACCCCAAUCACCAGCCCGCAAAUCAAUGCCGAAUAUUUAGACUGUUCCGGAAUUGACUUGAGCCAAUCAGUAUCACCCAAGUAACCAGAUAUUAAGCGCUAAUCUUUAUUGAACCAUUGAAGCUACUAGCGGGGGAAAAAG